GGCAGCAUGGUACAGUGGUUUAGUGUUUCACUACAACUCUGGAGACUAGGGUUCAAUUCCCUGCUUGGCCA